rnacentral:rRNA from 1 species
UACGGAGGGGGCUAGCGUUGUUCGGAAUUACUGGGCGUAAAGCGCGCGUAGGCGGCUUUGUAAGUUAGAGGUGAAAGCCCGGAGCUCAACUCCGGAACUGCCUUUAAGACUGCAUCGCUAGAACGUCGGAGAGGUAAGUGGAAUUCCGAGUGUAGAGGUGAAAUUCGUAGAUAUUCGGAAGAACACCAGUGGCGAAGGCGGCUCUCUGGGACGGUACUGACGCUGAGACGCGAAAGCGUGGGGAGCGAACAGG